UACGGGGGGGGGCAAGCGUUGUUCGGAAUUACUGGGCGUAAAGGGCUCGUAGGUGGCCAACUAAGUCAUACGUGAAAUCCCUCGGCUUAACCGGGGAACUGCGUCUGAUACUGGAUGGCUUGAGGUUGGGAGAGGGAUGCGGAAUUCCAGGUGUAGCGGUGAAAUGCGUAGAUAUCUGGAGGAACACCGGUGGCGAAGGCGGCAUCCUGGACCGAGAUUGACGCUGAUGCGCGAAAGCCAGGGGAGCAAACGGG
rnacentral:rRNA from 1 species